rnacentral:rRNA from 1 species
GACGAACGCUGGCGGCGUGCCUAAUACAUGCAAGUCGAGCGAAUCGAUGGGAGCUUGCUCCCUGAGAUUAGCGGCGGACGGGUGAGUAACACGUGGGUAACCUGCCUGUAAGACUGGGAUAACUUCGGGAAACCGGAGCUAAUACCGGAUACUUCCUUCUCUCGCACGAGGGAAGAUGGAAAGACGGGUCUCCUAUCACUUACAGUUGGACCCGCGGCGCAUUAGCUAGUUGGUGAGGCAGCGGCUCACCAAGGCAACGAUGCGGAGCCGACCUGAGAGGGUGAUCGGCCACACUGGGACUGAGCCACGGCCCAGACUCCUACGGGAGGCAGCAGUAGGGAAUCUUCCGCAAUGGACGAAAGUCUGACGGAGCAACGCCGCGUGAGCGAAGAAGGCCUUCGGGUCGUAAAACUCUGUUGUUAGGGAAGAACAAGUACGAGAGUAGCUGCUCGUACCUUGACGGUACCUAACCAGAAAGCCACGGCUAACUACGUGCCAGCCGCCGCAGUAAAAC